UUGAUCAAAUAAAAUGUCUCAGAAGGAAGCCAAAGAUUCCAAUCCUCCUAAUAUUGAAAAUAAAUCCAUAUCAAGUAAAAAGAAAACAGCUCCGAAGCAGCGCAAUGCCAAAGAGACAUCAAAUUCACAAAAACACCUAAAGAGAACAGAUUUCAUUUUGCUAGGAUCAAAUGUACCUCUUGAUUGCCAUCAAGAAUUAGAAAAGAAAAAGCAGCAAAUUCUUAUUGGGCAGCUAAGAGCUGCUGAAUCACAUAACAAGAUACAGGACAUGAGAUUCCGUUACCAAACAAUGAGAGCUGAAGAAAUAAAUCUUUUAAUAUCAUCUCAGCCAACAGCCAGAAGGGCUGUUCGAUUGGAGGCUCUUCUUCCACCAUAUGAGGAACAAAUUAACCUCAAGGAUACUUUGAAUAAACUGCAGGAUUCUCGUGGAAAAGAGAUGCACUAACAGUGAAGCACAAUGGAACCAUUCAGAGGAGCACUUGGAACGCUUUUUUUCUUGCUCUCAGAUUAUUACCAGAAAAAGAGUAGAAGAAAUUAUGAGUGAUGAAGCAGGGCUAACAAUAAAUCGAAACCUAUGAAAGGCAAUAUAUCAUAACGUUUGCCCCAGUUCAAGAACAUAUGGGAACAUCAUUUGUAACAUAUUUGCUCUGAAUAAAACUUUUUGAAGCUCAACAGUGACUUGAUCAUUUCUAUAUAAGGAAGAAAGGUGUGCAAAAAUACGUUAAUAUAUAAUUAUCAACAGAGUUCAAAAUCAGUAGAAAUUCAUUGUUUUGUCCUUUUAUUUGAAUUUAGUUGAUAUCUUUUAAACAUGCACUUUUAAGGUUGACCAAUAUCUGCAUAACACAACCAAACCUUUCCAAACUUUGGAAGAACUGGAGAAAUGAUCAUUGACCUGACAGUUAAUUUGCUUUCAUUUCAACACCAGCUCUUCUUGCUUCCCAUCAAAAAUUUGCAUAAAAUGUAAUUUAAUAUUCUCACAUUUUGGAUCCAAUUCAAAGAUUUACAGAAGUUGGAAAAUAUGUUUUAAUUUUUAAUUCUGAAUUUUAAUCCCUCUACUUUAAAAAUGUGUUAUUUCUUUCAGUAUCAAAAUGAAUCUAAUGGAAAAUAGAGAUUAUAAUUGAAAUGGUACAUGUUCAUAACUCGAUUUUGUACAUGGAUAUGAAAUUUGUCUGUUUAUUGUUUAAGUAAAUGAGAUUAGCAACAUUAACAAAAUAUGAGACAAAUUUCAUACAGAUUUGUUACUAAUAAUGCAGUUUAAUUGCAAAGCAUGAAAACCAAGAUUUAUUUCAUAAAUCGGAGACAGGAGAGACUGCAGAUGCUGGAAUUUGGAGCAACAAACAAGAUGCUGGAGGAACUCAGCGAGGUAGACCUGAGUUCCUCCAACAUAUUGUUCGUUAUUUUAUUAUUCGCCUGGCUGCCAGUGUAUGCUUUCAAGUACUGAAUCUCAGUUGCAGUAGAGAAGUAACAAUAUGUUUUAGGGGGAAAAAGGCAGAUAAUUGCAAUGACUCACAUCCAAACCAAUGCAGUACUUGCUUAAUACUACCACCUGACAAUAGAUCUUCCCUUCUCAGUGGUGAAAUGGUCUGUGUCAUUAUAUUAUAGCUUCUUUACCAGACAAGUUGUAAGGACACUAAUCGAAAUUCUAAAUGAUAGAAUUAGUAAAGAAUAACAGACCUGACUUGUCUCCAGCAAAGUCAAUUGCAGGGAAGUAGCCUGAAUCUUUAACAUCCUCAUAAGAACAGCAAGAACAAGCAUACCUCAAUUUUUGCUUCUGUCAGUAGCAUCUCAUAGUGCUCUUGCCCAUUCCAACACCACCAGCAGCAACAAUCUCAUUUUCAAAAGUUUUCUCCCCUUAAUCCAUUUAUCAUUCAAGUGAUGAUAAUUCAAUAUUGCUUGGUUAUUCAAUUCAAACACUCAGUACAAUAUGAAAUGGAAGAUUGUAAUAAGUUGUUUUUUUUUAACAUAACUGGCCUGAGAUUUCUGCAAAAUAUUACCCAAGUAUAACUUUAUGAUUUGUUUCUGUACUAUUAUGAA